rnacentral:rRNA from 1 species
AGAGUGUAUGAGCAUCGCGUGCGGAUGUAACUUACCCUCAGCGAGAAGAAGUGUUGUAGUCUAACUAACCGCAGCUAUUUGACGUUAUCCGCAGAAGAAGCACCUGCUUACCUACGAUGCCUGCAGCGCGGUAAUACGGAGGGAUGCUAUGCGUUAAUCGUAAAUAACUGGACCGUAAAGCGCACGCAGUCGGUCGGUCAACGUCGGAUAUAGAAAUCCGCUGUGCUCAACCGUGGGCAGCUGCACUCCGAGAGCUGGCAUGCUAGUAGUCUUGUAGAGGGGGGUAGAAUUCCCAGGUGCAGCGGUGAAAUGCGUAGAGAUCUGGAGGAAUACCGGUGGCGAAGGUGGCCCCCUGGACAAACACUGACGCUCAGGUGCGAAAGCGUGGGGAGCAAACAGGAUUAGAUACCCUGGUAGUGCACGCCGUAAACGAUGUCGAUUUGGAGGUUGUGCCCUUGAGGUGUGGCUUCCGGAGAUAACGCGUUAAAUCGACCGCCUGGGGAGUACGGCCGCAAGGUUAAAACUCAAAUGAAUUGACGGGGGCCCGCACAAGCGGUGGAGCAUGUGGUUUAAUUCGAUGCAACGCGAAGAACCUUACCUGGUCUUGACAUCCACAGAACUUUCCAGAGAUGGAUUGGUGCCUUCGGGAACUGUGAGACAGGUGCUGCAUGGCAGUCGUCAGCUCGUGUUGUGAAAUGUUGGGUUAAGUCCCGCAACGAGCGCAACCCUUAUCCUUUGUUGCCAGCGGUUAGGCCGGGAACUCAAAGGAGACUGCCAGUGAUAAACUGGAGGAAGGUGGGGAUGACGUCAAGUCAUCAUGGCCCUUACGACCAGGGCUACACACCUGCUACAAUGGCGCAUACAAAGAGAAGCGACCCCCCGAGAGCAAGCGGACCUCAUAAAGUGCGUUGUAGUCCCGGAGUGAGUGUGCAACCCGAUUCCAUGAAGUGGGAAUCGCUGGUAAUUGUAGAAUCCAGUAAAUGCGUUGCUGAGCCUGGU